AAGCCUUGAGGACGGAACGGGCCGCCGUCGCCCCCAAUUUAGGGUUAGGAGAUGCAGGAAUGUCACCCUGCCAAGGUUG
rnacentral:ncRNA from 1 species